rnacentral:rRNA from 1 species
GAUGAACGCUGGCGGCGUGCCUAAUACAUGCAAGUCGAGCGAACAGACGAGGAGCUUGCUCCUCUGACGUUAGCGGCGGACGGGUGAGUAACACGUGGAUAACCUACCUAUAAGACUGGGAUAACUUCGGGAAACCGGAGCUAAUACCGGAUAAUAUAUUGAACCGCAUGGUUCAAUAGUGAAAGACGGCUUUGCUGUCACUUAUAGAUGGAUCCGCGCCGCAUUAGCUAGUUGGUAAGGUAACGGCUUACCAAGGCAACGAUGCGUAGCCGACCUGAGAGAGUGAUAGGCCACACUGGAACUGGGACACGGACCAGACGCCUACGGGAGGCAGCAGUAGGGAAUCUUCCGCAAUGGGCGAAAGCCUGACGGAGCAACGCCGCGUGAGUGAUGAAGGUCUUCGGAUCGUAAAACUCUGUUAUUAGGGAAGAACAAAUGUGUAAGUAACUAUGCACGUCUUGACGGUACCUAAUCAGAAAGCCACGGCUAACUACGUG